rnacentral:misc_RNA from 1 species
CGGAGGACGGUCUUUCGGAGCGCUUGACUUCGGUGUCUCUCGACAGCAAGGGCUUCCAGGCUCUGAAGCAGCUUUGUUGUGAUGUUGCAGUUAAAUUUGCUCCUUGAUAAUGGGGGGAGCUCUCGAAUAUUACUGCUGCCAGUGUUUGUGGUUUGGGCUAUCCUGUUUUAGCUCCCUGCUACUUGGUGUAUUUGGUUAUGUCAUUGUGUG